rnacentral:rRNA from 1 species
UACGAAGGGGGGCUAGCGUUGCUCGGAAUCACUGGGCGUAAAGCGCGUGUAGGCGGCUAAGUAAGUCGGGCGUGAAAUCCCACGGCUCAACCGUGGAAGUGCACUCGAAACUGCAUAGCUAGAGUCCUGGAGAGGAAGGUGGAAUGCUUGGUGUAGAGGUGAAAUUCGUAGAUAUCAAGCGGAACACCGGUGGCGAAGGCGGCCU